GAUGAAGAACGUAGCGAAAUGCGAUAAGUAAUGUGAAUUGCAGAAUUCAGUGAAUCAUCGAAUCUUUGAACGCACAUUGCGCCCUCUGGUAUUCCGGGGGGCAUGCCUGUUCGAGCGUCAUUUCAACCAUCAAGCCUUCGCUUGUGUUGGGCCCCCGCGGCUGCCGCGGCCCCCUAAAUCCAGUGGCGGGCUCGUCGUCGUACCGAGCGCAGUAGACAUCCUCGCUCCGGGAACCCGACGGGUGCCGGCCGUGAAACCCCCCCCAUCAAGGUUGACCUCGGAUCAGGUAGGAAUACCCGCUGAACUUAAGCAUAUCAAUAAGCGGAGGA
rnacentral:misc_RNA from 1 species